GGAGCAAUCGUUGGCUUCGAUGGAGGAGGAGCCUCCAUCUUCUUCUUCUUCUUAUUCUUAUCCGUACACAUCAAAAGUGCUGAAUCCAUAGCAGAGGAAGAAGAUGGAUUCUUGAGCUCCAAUUUCAGGAGAUCUUUGCAGUUUUCUUUCCCUUCCAUGAUUUUUCUUUGGUGAAAUCAGUGAGAAUUAUGGAGAAGAAGACGAACUAUGAGCUUGACCUAGAAAAAGAGUUUGCGUCGGUGGAGCUUGAAGUCGCCGCUAUCGCUUUAGGGUUUCGGUUCUGACAUUCAAUUUAUAAUUCCCAAAUUAU